rnacentral:rRNA from 1 species
AUUGAACGCUGGCGGCAUGCCUUACACAUGCAAGUCGAACGGCAGCACGGGAGCAAUCCUGGUGGCGAGUGGCGAACGGGUGAGUAAUAUAUCGGAACGUGCCCAGUCGUGGGGAUAACGUAGCGAAAGCUACGCUAAUACCGCAUACGAUCUAUGGAUGAAAGCGGGGGAUCGCAAGACCUCGCGCGAUUGGAGCGGCCGAUAUCAGAUUAGGUAGUUGGUGAGGUAAAGGCUCACCAAGCCGACGAUCUGUAGCUGGUCUGAGAGGACGACCAGCCACACUGGGACUGAGACACGGCCCAGACUCCUACGGGAGGCAGCAGUGGGGAAUUUUGGACAAUGGGCGCAAGCCUGAUCCAGCAAUGCCGCGUGCAGGAUGAAGGCCUGUGU